rnacentral:lncRNA from 1 species
GCCGGGCAGCACCUUCUCUCCGUGGUGCCGGGUUAAAGCACGGGAGGCCGGCAGGUUUGAUCCACUCGGAUUAUUCGUGCUUUGAGGACAGCUCCCCACCCCCACCCCAGGUGCGCUUUGGAUUGAGCUACGAGGGUUUGGUUGUCAUCCUCACAUCUGACGGUCCUGGGACCCAAGUCCAGGCCUGAAGUGGUGGGGUGGGGGGAUGCUGUGUUUGCUCCAACCGUGUCCAGAAAAUGCCCUCCCAGGUAUCUCUCCAGUGCACCCCCGGCCCCCAUCUGAAGACAGCCGCUGGCUACACACACCCCUGUCCCUACACUUCCAGUCCGGGUCCUCACACUGCCCCAUCCCUGGCCAACACCUCACUGUACCUGCCUGGACCCUUUCUUGCUGUUCC